GACGAACUGUGCAACCGUUAUUCGGAAUCACUGGGCGUGAAGAGUGCGUAGGCGGUUUUGUAAGUAGGGUGUGAAAGCCCCCGGCUCAACCGGGGAAUUGCGCCCUAAACUGCAAGGCUGGAGUGAGGUAGGGGUGUGUGGAACUUCUAGUGGAGCGGUGAAAUGUGUUGAUAUUAGGAGGAACGCCGGUGGCGAAAGCGACACACUGGACCUUGUCUGACGCUGAGGCGCGAAAGCCAGGGGAGCAAACGGG
rnacentral:rRNA from 1 species